rnacentral:rRNA from 1 species
CACCGCGGUUAAACGGGAGACCCAAGUUGAUAUAUAACGGCGUAAAGCGUGGUUAAGACACUAACUUAAUAGGGUCAAAUAGCUUCUAAGUAGUCAAAUACUAUCGAAACCACAAAGCACACCCACGAAAGUAACCCUAAUACCUCUGACCCCACGAAAGCCAUAACA